GGAGGGUGCAAGCGUUAUCCGGAUUCACUGGGUUUAAAGGGUGCGUAGGUGGGCUAGUAAGUCCGUGGUGAAAUCUCUGAGCUUAACUCGGAAACUGCCGUGGAUACUAUUAGUCUUGAAUCUCGUGGAGGUAAGCGGAAUAUGUCAUGUAGCGGUGAGAUGCUUAGAUAUGACAUAGAACACCGAUAGCGAAGGCAGCUUGCUACACGAGUAUUGACACUGAGGCACGAAAGCGUGGGGAUCAAACAGGAUUAGAUACCCUGGUAGUCCACGCCCUAAACGAUGGAUACUCGACAUACGCGAUACACAGUGUGUGUCUGAGCGAAAGCAUUAAGUAUCCCACCUGGGAAGUACGACCGCAAGGUUG
rnacentral:rRNA from 1 species